UGAAAAAUCUGCAUCCUCUACUAAAGAAUGUUGCUGCCUAUCCCCUUAUUUUCUGCCGAGGGACACCGUUCAGAAGAAUUCUCUGUGAUGGGGAGAGAAAGGUCCACGGUAUCACUGAAGCAUUAAGAACAUGGAGACUCAAGACAGGAAGCCAAAGACCAAGGAACUUUGGGUCCUUGUUUUUCUCCCCCACAAGAAUCUCCUGAUGAGGCCACAAAUGCCUCCGGCCACACACUUAGCCCUGCCCUGCUUCUGAGCCAAAUGAAGUGGGAUAUGAAGGCUGGAAUGUAGCCAUGGCAUCUGGAGGGCACCUCAUAACCAUGAAGUGACUUUAGGACAGAAGCCACACACAAUGGUGGAGCAGAAAGUGACCCCGGACGCCACAUGAUAAGAUGGAGGUAUCACAGGAUACAAAGAAAUGGGAUCCUUGAGUCACUGGAUGUAGAAGAGCUCCCAUGAACCCGCCUUUGGGUGAGACUGUGGGAAGAGGUUUUAUGCCACAGCUGGAAGAGUUUUCCAGAGACUGCUGAGUACCGAGUGUUGUGAGAGUGGAGUCUGCUGGGCACUAUCACAUGGAGCCUGAACAUGAAGCUAACACUUCCCAUAGCAAGCUGAGUGAGGGAGGGAAAUCAAAGCCUGCUGAUACCAUGUGAGCCCUGUAUAUAGCCAGGUUUAGAGCUACUUCUGCUGAUGGCUUUUCAUUGAUUUAUUCCAAUAAAAUUGCUUUUUACUUAAACUGAAUUUUUUUGUUACUUGCAACCAUAAAAUUCUAACUGAUGCACGUCUGAUCUGCCAGCACUAAGCUAAGCCCUUUUACAUAUAUCAGCUUCUUUAAUCAUUGCAACAACCCAAUGUGGGUAGAUACUACCAUCUCUACUUCAUAGGUAAUGAA